AUGAAAUGUAUUGCCAUAAAAAUAUGGAAUUUUAAAUCAGAUUUCUGAUAUACCUACCCUAUCGUUAUCUAGUUAAGCUGCACGCACGGUCGAAAAGCGGGCCUGAGCCCUGAGCCUGUCCCGCGCGGGACCUUUAAUUUUGAUUUAAAAAUCGGAACGUCCCGUCUAUUUCGGGACAUCUGGCAACGCUGAACGUUUUUCUUUCUCUUUCAAAAUAAAGGAGUUAUGUACGUAUAUAGGUAAUCGGACCUAGUCAGAGAGGGGUCCUUACAUCAAUCCGGAAUACUUUCUUUUUAAUUUUGAGUCGUAAAUUGUAAUAAUAAAUUCUGCACCUAUUUAACAAAUAGCAAAUAAAAUUGAUUUUACCGAAGUUAAUAGUGAUGUGGCUCAGCUAAAUAUAGAUAUUCAUAGAUGUCCGGAGCUGCAUAAUCAGAAGGCAUUUUCCCCUUUUUAUUCUUGACAAAUGGAUCUGCUCCAUGUUCAACAAGGAACUUCACCAUUUUAAGGUUGCCAGAGGUGGUAGCGUCGUGCAGCGGCGUAUCGUCGUCCAAACCCUUCGCAUUGACAUUGGCACCCCCAUUAACCAGUACAACUACCACAGGGUGCCAACCGUAGCUGCAUGCCUCAUGAAGUGGGGUCCAUCCUAUGGUUUCGAUAAUUUAUUCUCCUUUGACAAAUUCUAAGGUUCCACCUUGAUGAAUUUAUCCAGAGAAAACAUAAAUAUCUUCAAACUACAUACAUCCAUUGCCUCUCAAGCAAAGACAGUAUCAUAGCAAACAGAGAAAAUACGAAUCUAAAGGGUUCCGUACAGAUAUUUUGUAAACAUUGUUAAGACCAAUUUGUUUCCAUACAUUUUAAAUUAAAACUUUACAAUGAGUUCUGUACUAUUUGUUAGAGAUGAAUAGCUAUAUGAUGGACUUUUCAAAUCAACUUUAGUUAAGGAUGAUUAAACAGUUGAAGAACUUUAGCGAAUGAUGUAUGUUUUACUGUCUAGUUAGGGCCCACCUGUUGGGGCCACUUACCAAUGUUUUAUUUUAUAUAUAUGAUACAUAUAUACAAUGUGUAUCUAUAAAUACUUGUAAAAUCCCAAUAACUAGACCAAUCUGAAAAGUGUAAUUUCCCAUAUUAGGGAUAGAACCACAGAAAUCCAAUGUAUUAGUUUGAUGACCAUUAGUCGACAGAUGUCUUCAAUCAUAAGGAAGCUAUAAGUAAUAGCUACAAAAGAGUUUAAGUCACAAGGAAAGCUAGGGGGCGAAACCUAUUGUGAAAUAAUACUAGUAAUGUUGUUUUGGACUUGUUUUACAAUAUCAAAUUUUAUCAAAAUCUGAUUUGUGAUUUAAAUUGGUAGAGGACCUAUACAUAAAAAUUCUUCAAUAAUUCAGAAUUUCAGAAAAUAAUAUAUUAAGUUUAAAUAGUAAAGAGGAUAGUCUACACAAUUUACUUUUUUAAAGCAUCAGUAAAUAUUACAUUACUGAUGCUUUAAAAAAGUAAAUUACAGUCUGUCUUUUGUCAGUAUGUCUUUGUUUAUGUAUGGCCCUAAGAACAGUGUUAGUAGUUGUUGGAACUAAAGAAAAUAUCGGCAAUUUGGUUAAAUUUGUAACCAAAGUUUUAUAACUAUUGGUAAUUGUACCUAUGUAUUAAGUUUGCAGUGAAAAUAUUAUACCCAGAAUCCCAUUAUAACUAGGUAAAUACCUCCACAAUGCAUGCAAUGAAAGAUGAGAUCUGAUGUAUCUGUGGUUUACUUCCGCAGGCGAUGAUUCAAUGCACGGGCAAACCAUAACACAUAGUUCUUUCUCUUCUUUCAAGGCAUGCAUUGUUAUUUCAAAAUGUAUAAAAAUUGAAGUUGAUAUAUUAUAACAAGACAUUUAAAAACAAAUACAAGAACAAGAUUUAGUAAAAUCAAUAAAAGUAACAAUUAUUA